UACGUAGGGAGCGAGCGUUGUCCGGAAUCAUUGGGCGUAAAGAGCGCGUAGGUGGAUCAAUUAGUCUGCUGUGAAAGUCAAAGGCUCAACCUUUGAAAGCCGGUGGAUACUGUUGAUCUAGAGUACGGAAGAGGCGAGUGGAAUUCCUGGUGUAGCGGUGGAAUGCGCAGAUAUCAGGAGGAACACCAAUAGCGAAGGCAGCUCGCUGGGACGUUAUUGACACUGAGGCGCGAAAGCGUGGGGAGCAAACAGG
rnacentral:rRNA from 1 species